UACGUAGGGUGCAAGCGUUAAUCGGAAUUACUGGGCGUAAAGCGUGCGCAGGCGGUUUUGUAAGACGGAUGUGAAAUCCCGGGCUUAACCUGGGAACUGCAUUCGUGACUGCAAGGCUAGAGUAUGGCAGAGGGGGGUAGAAUUCCACGUGUAAGCAGUGAAAUGCGUAGAGAUGUGGAGGAAUACCGAUGGCGAAGGCAGCCCCUGGG
rnacentral:rRNA from 1 species